GGCCGCAACCACACCACGUUAGAAAUACCGGUUCUCCUCUGAUCACCGAAGUUAAGCAACGUCGGGCCCGGUGAGCACUUACCUCCGAAAGCCUCAGUAUGGUCGGGGGUGGGUGUAAAGGGUUGCGGCUG
rnacentral:rRNA from 1 species